rnacentral:rRNA from 1 species
CCUACGGGGGGCUGCAGUAAGGAAUAUUGGUCAAUGGAGGAAACUCUGAACCAGCCAUCCCGCGUGAAGGAUGAAGGGGCUCUGCCUUGUAAACUUCUUUUGUCUGGGGCGAAAAAGCUCGAUUUAUCGAGAACUGACGGUACCCGAAGAAUAAGCACCGGCUAACUCCGUGCCAGCAGCCGCGGUCAUACGGAGGGUGCCGGCGUUAUCCGGAAUCACUGGGUUGUAGGCGUGCGUAUAAGUCUGUGUUGAAAGGCUGUGGCUUAACCAUGGAAUUGCCAUUGAUACUGCAGAGCUGGAAUGAGGUUGAGGUUGGCGGAAUGUGACAUGUAGCGGUGAAAUGCUUAGAUAUGUCAUGGAACACCGAUUGCGAAGGCAGCUGACUGGACCUAUAUUGACGCUGAGGCACGAAAGCGUGGGGAGCGAACAGGAUUAGAUACCCCUGUAGUC